GAUGAACGCUAGCGGCAGGCUUAAUACAUGCAAGUCGAGGGGCAGCAUGAGUGUAGCAAUACAUUUGAUGGCGACCGGCAAACGGGUGCGGAACACGUACACGACCUUCCUAUAAGUGGGGAAUAGCCCAGAGAAAUUUGGAUUAAUACCCCGUAACAUAAUGAUGUGGCAUCACAUUAUUAUUAUAGCUACGGCGCUUAUUGAUGGGUGUGCGGCUGAUUAGAUAGUUGGCGGGGUAACGGCCCACCAAGUCUACGAUCAGUAGCUGAUGUGAGAGCAUGAUCAGCCACACGGGCACUGAGACACGGGCCCGACUCCUACGGGAGGCAGCAGUAAGGAAUAUUGGUCAAUGGACGCAAGUCUGAACCAGCCAUGCCGCGUGAAGGAUUAAGGUCCUCUGGAUUGUAAACUUCUUUUAUCUGGGACGAAAAAAGGCGAUUCUUCGUCACUUGACGGUACCAGAUGAAUAAGCACCGGCUAACUCCGUGCCAGCCGCCGCGGUAAGAC
rnacentral:rRNA from 1 species